UAGGGAAUAUUAGUAAUGGGCGAAAGCCUGAACUAGCAACGCCGCGUGUGCGAAGAAGGCCUUCGGGUUGUAAAGCACUUUUUGAGAGGAUGAGGAAGGACGGUACUCUCAGAAUAAGUCACGGCUAACUACGUGCCAGCAGCCGCGGUAACACGUAGGAGGCGAACGUUAUCCGGAUUUACUGGGCGUAAAGCGCGUGUAGGUGGUUUGGUAAGUAGGGCGUGAAAGCUCCUGGCUCAACUGGGAGAGGCCGUUCUAAACUGCCGAACUAGAGGAUGGUAGAGGGAGGUGGAAUUCCGGGUGUAGCGGUGGAAUGCGCAGAUAUCCGGAGGAACACCAGUGGCGAAAGCGGCCUCCUGGACCACUCCUGACACUCAGACGCGAAAGCUGGGGUAGCAAACG
rnacentral:rRNA from 1 species